rnacentral:misc_RNA from 1 species
AGAGAAAGACGACUAGAGGUAGAUUAAGGAACAUGAGAUGCGUUUAUUCUCAAAGCUGUUAAUUAUAUAAAGAACAUAGUAUAAAAAGUAGAGUCUCAUAGCUCAGCUGGUUAGAGCGCUACACUGAUAAUGUAGAGGUCGGCAGUUCGAGUCUGCCUGAGACUACUAACUUUUUUUACAAUGGAAAUUCUAGAAGUUUGAGUAGUAGUUAAGUACUAACUACUGACUACUAAUUGCUAACGACUAGUAAUUAGGGGGAUUAGCUCAGCUGGCUAGAGCGCCUGCCUUGCACGCAGGAGGUCAUCGGUUCGACUCCGAUAUUCUCCACUAAAACGUUCAUUGACAUAUUGAAAAAAGAUACAUGAAAUUAGAUAGAAAUAUUUAAUAAAAGUAAUAAUUAUUGUAACGAGCAAUAAUAAGGUAUCAUGAUAUUUGAUUUAAAAACUAAUUUAUUAGUUCUUAAGGAUGGUAUUUUGAUGCUUACAGUAACUCAUUAAAAAGACAAAAAGUAC